AUCCGUAAUCUUUUGGCAUGCGCGAUUUGUAGGCAGGCGGCAAGAGUUUCUUAGACUCACCAACGUUAUGCUAUUCAGUAAGGAAAAGAAUUACAUACGCGUGGUGAGGUGUACGUCAUGCCAGAAUUCUGUGAACCACAACAAUCGGAAUGCGCUGUACAGACACCCCACCCUUAACGUUCUCAUCUGCAAGAAAUGUUACUCGUUUUACAAAGAAGGCGAAUGGGAACGCGACAAAGAUGGUCAGGAUGAAUAUUGCCGAUGGUGCGGUGAAGGCGGUCAUUUGUAUAUUUGUGCCUCAUCGAGCUGCCUGAUGGGUUUUUGUCGAAGAUGCAUAAAGACCAAUCUUGGAAAAUUAGAAAUUGAGCGCGUUGAGGACGAUGACUUCUGGCGAUGCUACAUGUGCAAUCCAGAGCCGCUAAAGGUAAUUCAAAGCUGGACGAAUUCGGUGUUUCAUUUGCUGCAGACGAAUGCAAAAUCGAGACUGUGCGCAACUAAGCCCCCAGAUGCCCUACAAAUUUAUAGGCAGGAACUGUCGGACUCAUACAACCUACUUGCGAAUGCUUUACGUUAUCCAAAAGGGCCGAGCAUAAAUCAAACACGCAUGUCUCUAUUAGAAAUGUUAUCACAGUUCAGACAAUGCCUUAGUCUGGUGGAGAAGUUCGUAGAAUCGGAAAGUUUUGCUCCGUUCGUCCAAGUUGUUGUCGGUGAUAAAAUGAAAACGCCGGCGCAGCAGAGCAACCAGUUAUCAGCAGAAAGUGAAUCACGUGGUAGUUCAGGUCACGUAUUAGACAUCGACGAUACCGUUACUAAUGAGAUUAUCGAAGCUAACGGAAAGGAUGUUAAGAUCGCAAAGUUGGAUAUAGGACGAAGGAAUAGCAGCCGCUCUUCAGCAAAGGGAAAAGAGAACAGAGGUAAGAUCAGUGAAAGAAGUUCUCCACAUCAGGGAGUAUCUCCGAGCACGUCUGCCCGCCUAAAAGAGGAACCUAAAGAGACCGCCAGUGACCAUCGACCUCGAAGCUCAUCGCCGUUAUUCUACGACGCUAAUGAUACAAAGCUGGCCCGAUCACCUUUUGCGGAUUCCGACGAUGACGACAGUGAAAACAAUGACAAAUUCGAGAAGUUUUGUUCUGAAGUCUCUAAAUGCAAACCUGUGCCGUGUACCUCGGUGUCAACAGUCCAUGAUGUUUCUUUCAACAAACAGGAUGAGUCAGGCGAGCAAAGUGUUCCCUUUCAAGCAUGCGAAAAGAGUACCGAUGUCCAGCCAGUGCCGGACCAAUGCCAGGAGAAUUUGUCUCCGUCGUCGCCUUCAACGGCAGCAAGAGAAGCCGCAAUUACUGCAACAAUAGAAGAUAACAAGCAUGCCUUUGAUGAUGUUCCCAACGAUGGUGGCUGCAACUUAGCUGAUAUUCCUUCUAGUUUUAUUGUGGAAAGCGAUAUCGACAAUGACCCCGUCAAGAAAGACGAGGAAAAUAACAAAUCAUGCAGUGAUGGCGGCGGUGGCAGUAACAACAAUGAAUCUGGAGGUGAUUCGGACGGUGAAAGCAGUGAUGAAGAGAACAGUCAAAACGAAGGUGGGGAUAACGGUAGAAAAAAUGAUAAAAAACCCUCACCGGAAAAGGAGAGCGGAAGCGGGAGACGUGGACGCGAAGCUGAUGAUGAUGACAGUCGUGGCGACGGCGGGGAUGAUGGUGGUGGUGAUAAUUACGACCCUAACGAGGGUGUACCUUCCUUGGACGAAUUUAGGAAAAAAGAACUGAUUAUUCGAGUAUCUCGAGUAGAAACUCUACUCGCUAAACAGGAAGCUAAACUGCCGUUAACGAGGUACCCUGGUCCGAAAAGUAGACGAAACGAGCCGAACUCUGAGGACAAUGAGGACAACGAGUUACUUCGUCUACUCGAAGAUCCUGUUCGGAGGAGUGUACUUAAGGCCGACCUAGAUCGUUCUAAGUCCAAGAGAACUCUCAGUAAAAAGCCGACUAGGCAAGCGACGAUCAAUAAAAGUAAACUGAACUUUGGCUCUAUUUUCUCCGAUUCGGACGAAGGAAGUCAGCGACAGACGGUCGAAAUCAGUGACAAUGAUAACGAUGAAGUUAGAGGCAAUGAUUCGGAUUUCGAUGCGGAAGUACUUGCGAAGUCUGAGAGCCCCGCCGGAGACGCCUCAGAUAGUGACGUGGAGGUGAUUGCUGAGGUAAAAGCUACAAGAAGGAGUGAAGCUGGCAAAAAGAAGUCGCUGCUCAAGGACAAUUCUGAUAAUGAUAAUGAAGACAAGAUUGUCAAGAAAAAAGUUGUCGGGCAUUCCUUACCCAGUAUUCCCAAAGAGGAGGAAGAUGACACCGUGGAAAAAAGUUCGAAAAAGAAACGUAAAGCUGUCAAUGACAGCGAUUCUGAUCCUGGUGUGGCGAAGCCAAGAAGGACUCGAACCAGGGCCCGCAUUAAGAAGGCUCGCAUUAUGGAUAGCGAUGACGAAGGCGGUGGAAAGAAGGAAACGGAGGAGGUAGCUCUUUCGCCAAUCGAAAGUGACUCCGGUUCGGAACUCGAGGAGGAGGAAAAACCGAAAAAAAAACGGAAAAAGAAGAAAACUACAAUUGAGGAUUCGGACGAAGAAAAUAAAAAAGAUGAGGACGGCAAUCUGUCUAAGCGUAAGUCAAUUCGAAAAAUCAUGUCUGAUGACAAGAUUCAAAAAGACACGCGUACAGCCGCCAAGGAGGAAGCUGAGCGACGUCGCCGCGUACUUGAGCGUCAAAAGGCAUAUAAUGAAAUUGAGGCAGCAUUGAAAAAAGAUCGAAAGGAUGACAAGGUGACUAGCUGCGUUCUUGAAUAUGACCAAAAAACCAAAGAGUCACUUGUUCAAGUUAAUCCCGCCUUAGUUGUUCACAUGAAGCCUCACCAGGUUGAGGGCGUAAAAUUUCUUUACAACACAGUGAUCGAAUCGAUUGAACAGCUGGAGAAAAACAAGGGUGACAGCACAGCUGGAGGCGGGGCUGUUCUUGCGCAUUGCAUGGGUCUCGGCAAGACGUUUCAGACUAUAUGUUUCAUUCAUACGCUAUUGAUGAACAGCAGACUGAACAAACACAUUCAGAAAAUCAUAGUUGUAUGUCCAUGUAACGUUGUACUCAAUUGGGCUCGCGAAUUCGAAUUGUGGAUUGAUGAGAACGAAAAACUUGAAGAGCGGUUAAAUGUAUUCGAGUUUAGCCGGGUGAAGACGAUCUACGACCGUGUCGAUAUGUUAGAAGAUUGGUCGAAUCAAGGAGGGAUACUGAUCAUGGGAUAUUCAAUGUUCCGUGUAAUGACCCAGAUGAAAACAAAAUCACGGAAGAUCAAAGAUAAAAUUCCCAAGCUCCUGCACGAUCCCGGAGCGGACCUAGUCAUUUGCGACGAAGGUCAUAUGUUGAAAAGUGACAAAGCGCAAAUUUCGAAAGCUAUGAACCUGAUCAAAACGAGACGAAGAAUUAUUCUUACUGGUACGCCGCUGCAAAACAACAUGUCUGAAUACCAUUGCAUGGUGAGUUUUGUCAAGCCUAACCUACUGGGAACACAGAAGGAGUUUAACAACCGCUUCAUGAACCCUAUUACGCACGGUCAAUCGGCAAAUGCUUCUCCCUGGCAUGUUAAGCUCAUGAAGAAACGUGUGCACAUUCUCAACAAGCUGCUAGCCGGUUGUGUGCAUCGCUGCGAUUAUAGCCAUCUGACGCCGUACCUUCCAGCCAAAUUCGAGUAUAUCUUGUCGGUUGAUCUUACCGAGCUGCAGAUGAAACUGUACCGUGAGUAUCUGAAAUCAAUUGGUAUUACCGAAGACACGACUCGCGAAGAUCUAAGAAAUCGGUCCCUCCUUAAAGAUUACCAAGCAUUAAAAAUGGUCUGGUCGCAUCCGUAUUUGUUGUUGGAGAGCGCCGACCGUCAAGAGGACAAACGUCAACGCGCAGCUUUUAGAGAUGAUUUAGAUGAGUUCAUCGUGGAUGGCUCCGAUGAGGACACGCCGAGAAGCCAGAGUGGCAGUGGCACUAGUGAGGACGAGAAUAAAAGCAGCAGCGAUGCUGAUGAGGUUGUCAAGAAAUAUCACACGCGUAGAAAUCGCCAGGAGGGUCUGGUAGAAAGUGAACCUGAGGAGGAACUAACAAAAGUUCAAAAGCACAAAAAGGCCUGGUGGAAUAGUCUGGUGCCACAAGAAGAAGAAGAAUUUAUGAAACUCGAAUUGUCUUCUAAAUUGACGCUGGCGUUGGAGAUCCUUCGCCAAUGUGAGCUGAUCGGUGAUAAGGUGAUCCUCUUUAGCACAAGUCUGCUAACGCUCGAUCUGUUCGAGAAACUCUUGCAGGUCGAGUAUGAGCAAGCUUCACGAGCAGCCACUGAAGGCGACUAUAUCAAUAGCUGGGUCCAUGGUACGGACUACUUCCGGUUGGAUGGUAGUACCGCUGUCGAGACUCGUAGGAAAUACAUCGACGCAUUUAACGAUCCGGAGAACAUGCGAGCGCGGCUUUUCCUGGUGAGCACAAGAGCAGGAGGAAUUGGAACGAAUAUGGUUGGAGCUAAUCGAAUCAUUAUGCUGGAUGCGUCGUGGAAUCCCUCCGAUGAUACUCAGGCGAUUUUCCGAGCUUAUCGAUAUGGCCAGAUGAAGCCGGUCUACGUCUACCGCCUUCUGGCGCACGCCACAAUGGAGGAGAAGAUCUAUGACCGACAGGUUAGCAAAAUUUCACUUGCUUGUCGCGUGGUCGACGAACAGAAUCUCGAGCGGCAUUUCAACGAGGCCGAUCUAAAGGCGUUGUACGAAUUUAACCCGGAGAAAGACGCUCGCAAGACACCCGCCGUUCCCAAGGACCGACUGCUCGCCGAACUACUGAUCGCGCUGAAGACCAUCAUCCAGGGUUAUCAUGAGCAUGACUCGCUACUUCAGAAAGAGCUCGAGGAUGAGCUAACUGAAGAAGAGCGAAAAGCCGCCUGGAAAGAAUACGAGGAUGAACGCGACGGCAAGGCACCCUACAUGCCGUACAAUAUCGGCCUGCCGGGAACUGCUGGAAUGUCUGGAAUGGCCGGAACGCCUGGAAUGGCCGGAAUGCCUGGAAUGGCCGGAAUGCCUGGAAUGGCCGGAAUGCCUGGAAUCCCUGGAAUGGCCGGAAUCCCUGGAAUGGCCGGAAUGCCUGGAAUGUCAACUCUACCACCAGGAAUAACGCCAGGCUCUGCGUAUCAUACCGCCUAUAUGAAUUACAUCCGUCAACAGCACGUACGCCCUGAUUUGAAUCUAGACCACUUCAGUGCCUCUCCGAUUAUUGGGCAAACAAGUUACACUGCACCAUCGUGGGAACUGAUAAUUUAAUGUCGGCCGUGUCGGGUAUCAUUUAAACUGGACGGCGUAGACGGGAGCUGUUGAUCAAAUACACAGCAUGGCGCAAACAUGCUGAAUACCAUGCGACAAAGGUAUAUGCAACAGCAGCUGCAUCAACAACAGCAAUCGUCUGCUCAUUUUUCCGAUCAACA